GCUGGGCGUGGUGGCUCGCGCCUGUAGUCCCAGCUACUCGGGAGGCUGAGGCACAAGAAUCGCUUGAACCCAGGAGGCAGAGGUUGCAGUGAGCCGAGGUGGUGCCACUGCAUUCCAGCCUGGGUGACAGAGCGAGAUUCUGUCUCAA
rnacentral:SRP_RNA from 1 species